UACGGGGGGGGCAAGCGUUGUUCGGAAUUACUGGGCGUAAAGGGCUCGUAGGCGGCCAACUAAGUCGGAUGUGAAAUCCCCAGGCUCAACUUGGGAACUGCAUCCGAUACUGGAUGGCUUGAAUUCGGGAGAGGGAUGCAGAAUUCCAGGUGUAGCGGUGAAAUGCGCAGAUAUCAGGAGGAACACCGGUGGCGAAGGCGGAUCUCUGGGCCUUACCUGACGCUCAGGCGCGAAAGCUAGGGGAGCGAACUGG
rnacentral:rRNA from 1 species